CAGUCGCCGCGGGAAUACGGAGGGUGCGAGCGUUAAUCGGAAUAACUGGGCGUAAAGGGCACGCAGGCGGUUAUUUAAGUGAGGUGUGAAAGCCCCGGGCUUAACCUGGGAAUUGCAUUUCAGACUGGGUAACUAGAGUACUUUAGGGAGGGGUAGAAUUCCACGUGUAGCGGUGAAAUGCGUAGAGAUGUGGAGGAAUACCGAAGGCGAAGGCAGCCCCUUGGGAAUGUACUGACGCUCAUGUGCGAAAGCGUGGGGAGCAAACAGGAUUAGAUACCCGAGUAGUCCCUGUCUCUUAUAC
rnacentral:rRNA from 1 species